rnacentral:tRNA from 1 species
GCACUGGUGGUUCAGUGGUAGAAUUCUUGCUUUCUAUGCAGGAGACCUGAGUUUUGUUCUUGGUCAAUGCA